CACCCCUAUAUCAAACAAUUCUAUAAGAUUUAUAGAAACUUUUAUGUUAAAACUAGUAACAAGAAUAAAAAAUUCUCCUUAAUGCAAGUGUAAAUCAGACAGGAUACACCGCUGAUAAUUAACGCCCAUGAGCCAGUAGUAGCAACCCAGCAAGAAAACCCUCCUCUUACCAACGUUAACCUUACACAAGAGCAUUUUAAGAAAGAUUAAUAGAGUGAGAAGGAACUCGGCAAAAAUCUAACCCCGCCUGUUUACCAAAAACAUCGCCUCUUGAAAAACCCAUAAGAGGUCCAGCCUGCCCAGUGACUCUGUUCAACGGCCGCGGUAUCCUAACCGUGCGAAGGUAGCGUAAUCACUUGUUCUUUAAAUGAGGACUAGUAUGAAUGGCACCACGAAGGUUAUACUGUCUCCUUCCUCUAAUCAGUGAAACUAAUCUCCCCGUGAAGAAGCGGGGAUAAGCCUAUAAGACGAGAAGACCCUAUGGAGCUUUAAACACAGUAAUAAAUGCCCCCCCCCUUUUUUUAUCCAAAUCUCCGGAAAACUACUUUAUCUGAGCAUCCUAAUUACAAGUUUUAGGUUGGGGUGACCGCGGAGUAAAAAAUAACCUCCACAGUGAAUGGGAUCUCUCCCUAAACUNCAGGGCNACAGCCCUAAAAAUCAAUAAAUUGGCACCCAUUGACCCAAUAUUUUUGAUCAAUGAACCAAGUUACCCU
rnacentral:rRNA from 1 species